rnacentral:lncRNA from 1 species
AUGAAAAACUGUGAUGUAGAAUGCACCAUGAAAGAUAAAAAGAACUGUAAAAUGUGGAUGCUUAGGGAAGUGAGUGGUGCAGUAUCUACAUUCCUGGGAUGGAAAGCAGAAGAAUUUGUGCUAAUGCUUCCCCUUGCACUGGGGCCUCAGGAAAGUCACUACUUUCCUAAGCUUUCAAUGCCUCCUGUACCCACUUCUAACUUUUUUUUUUUUUUAAGAUUUUAUUUAUUUAUUCAUGAGAGACACACAGAGAGAGGCAGAGACAUAGGCAGAGGGAGAAGUAGGCUCCCUGUGGGGAGUAGGAUGCAGGACUCAAUCCUAGGACCCCGGGAUCAUGCCCUGAGCCCAAGGCAGAUACUCAACCACUGAGCUGCCCAGGCGUCCCUCCCUUUACCCCUUAAGAAUGUUUCCCCUCAGCCUCUUCUUGAGUGACUCAUCCAUUCACUUGUCUCCUUCUCAGGGACAGCCACAGUCCUAUCAUGAGGUAGCAUGAGAGGCCCUUAUUAUGUAAUUUGUUACAUUCUUUCCUAGGCCAUGCCUAAGACUCUUCCAUGUGUCUUCAGAUGAAACUAUUCUGGGCCCUUCCUGGGUAACAAUUCAAUCUCCCCAAGAUCCUUGCUGCUCUGGCCUUCCUUUAAACUCAGAUGGCCACAAAGACACAUCUGCCCUUUGGCUGAGCUGUCCCUGAUAAUUCGCCCCAGGGCCAUACCUGGACCAGGGACACUUAAGCCCUAUGGUCAGGCCUCAUGGGUGUUGGACACAGCUUUUUAAAAAAGUGUUGUUCUAGUUGCUUGCCAGUCCUACUGGUUUUUACUGGUUGUAAAAUGUUCAGGAAGAUGGAAACUGGCAACAGGUUGGGAGGCAGGCAGGUCUUGGGAGAAGACCAAGGAUCCCUGGGAAUUUUAGACAAUAGGCAAUCAAUUCCAUGAACUCUAUAACAUCUUUUGCAAUAAGAACUACUCAAGAUGCUCACUUUCAGUGGGAGUGAUAGACAUAACUCAUUCAGCGCUCCAGGAAGGUUACUUCAUGGGCCAUAAUCUGCAAUGGAGAAGAAGGAGGAUGAGUGAAAGAGGAUUGAAGCUGGUCUUAGACAUUCCUGGGCUGGAGGUGGGUGUCAGCCAACUGUAGAGUGGCUGUAGGGUGGGGCAAGCUCUGGGGAGGAACAGGGGAGGGAUCCCUUAACCUGUAUUAGGACUGAGGCUCAUGAGAAGGGCCCUGAAUAAGAUAGGGGAGACUCUGCUGGGGAACGGCCACCACAGAUGAGGACAGUGCUACACUCUGUGUAGAUGAGGACACUCUGGAAGAGCUACUCUGUGUCUGAGGCACCUGGUGCCUACAGGCAUGGGACACACGGCUGCUGUGGCCUGUGCACCUGCUCUCUUUUGCCUCCUUGUUCUUGAAGAGUGGGAAGACUGGUAUCCUGUGUUUCAGUAAGUGACUCUAAGGCAUUCCCAGACUUUGCUUGGUAGCCCGAUUUCAGGAAUUUUCAAGAUGGUUCCUCCUGUUCUCUUCCCAAAUCCCGAAGUCCCCUCUCUUGAUGAUUCUUUUUUUUUUUUUUUCUCUGAUGAUUCUUAUCUUCAGGUGCUCCUGGACCUCAAGGAGGAGGGAAAAGUCUAGUGGCCUCCACGUGCUCCUUCUAAGGCCUCCCCUGAGAGAGGCCUCUGUUAAGAUCAGGUCAGGGACCAAGUGAGACUUGCUUAAGGAAUGGGAUCCAGAGUCUGAGUGUGCUUUGGGGCUAGAUAGGGAAUGUCAGUUAUUUCCUGGUUCAUGUUAUGUACUCAUAGCAGUGCAGGACAUACAGUAGACACUUAGUCAGGAAUGUCUCAACACACCAGCAAAGGGACGAAUCUCGAACUCAUAGAAAUGAUCUAGGACAGCAAAUGAAUAGUGGCUUAAGAUACUUUUGUGGUGACCAUCCCAUUACCUGAGACUAAAUUCUAGCUCCCCAUAUAUACAUUAUUUUCAGAAUAGUGCUAUUCAAGUUUUCUUUAUUUUUUUUUAUUUUUAAAAGAUUUUUACUUAUUUAUUUAUGAGAGACACAGAGAGAAAGAGGCCGAGGGAGAACCAGGCUCCCUGCGGGGAGCCUCAUGUGGGACUCGAUCCCUGGACCUCGGGAUCAUAUCCUGAGUUGAAGGCAGACCCUUAACCGCUGCCACCCAGGUAUCCCCAAAUUUCCUUUAAACGCUAAUCCAGUCACAUUGUUUCUCCUCAGACACCUGUCGUUCAACUACUCAAUUCUGCCUCCAGCCACAUGAAGUAACAACUUUUUUUUUAUUAGGUCCUUAAGUAUUUUCUAGAAUUUUUAAUGUAAACAUAAGCAAAUUCAAAUAUAUUUUCCAAGCCUCCCCUCCUUUUAUGGAAAGAUUGUCACAUUUAUUGUUUUCAUGCUGCUUUUUCCACUUGAUAACAUAUAUUAAAAAUCUUUCCUUAUUAUUUUGUGUUCUCAUUCCUUUUUACUAAGCUGCGUAGUGUUGAUGGACAUUUGUUUAUCCCCCCAUCUAUUGUAUGAUAAACAAUGCUGCGAUGAAUAACUUUGUAUAUACAUCAUGUCACAAGGGUGCAAGUUUCCUUGUAGCAUAAAUUCCCAUAAAUGGAAUUACUGACUGAAAGGGUACAUGCAUUUAUAAUUUUUGUGGUUAUUGCCAAAAGCCCUCCAUAUGGGUUGUACAAAUUUAUAUUCACACCAGAAAUAUGUAAGUGCCCGGUUCCCCACAGCCUUGCCAACGGAGCAGAGCAUCAAAGUUUUUAGAUUUUUGCCAGUGCAAGAGGUAAAAUAUUGUUUAUUAUGUAAUUGUUUAUAUAUCAGUGUCAUCCUUUCCCUUUCACUCCCCACUCCC